GAAUCUGAGUUCAGAACAUCUCUAG
rnacentral:piRNA from 1 species